ACAACUCCGACGACGGAAGCGGCGCGCGGCGAACCGCAGGGCGGGUCAGGAAGGUUGAGUAUGCCCCUGAGACAUCUGGCUAAUUCUGGAGUGAAGCACAGGAAGUAUCCCAAGGAGGAUCAUUGACGGAUGACUGAUAUGGCAAGGAGAGCCCCCAAAGACAAUCCAAUUCCUACUGUCUUCAGAUUCCAUCUGUGUCAUCAUGGGUUACAAAGUAGCCUAAUCCUGCUUUCGCCUGAGUUCCAGAAACAUAUUUGCAACUGCCAACUGGACAGCUCCAGCUGGCUGUUCUAUGUCUUGGAUUGCAAGAUUUUCACUCUUGCCUGUAUUCUUGCCCUUAGCUAAGAAGACUUGCCACCCCUCUCUCUUAUUGCCUGUAUCCAGUGAAGCAUCAAGUCCUGCCCAUUCUCCUCAGGCUCCUGUCCUGCAUGAGGCUCCUCCUUGGCAUUUCCACUGCUGCUUUUCUAAUCCCAACACCCAAUCUGUCUUGCCUGAACAUU